CUCGCUACCCCCAAAGCCUGAUGUGGCCUCCUCACCUCUUCCACCUGUGCCUGAGUAGCAAACAAGAACCAGCUGUGUAACAUGCACAGCCCACCCAGCAGCAGGUGAGGGGCUGUCCUGGAGAACUUUUAGAGAAAUUGUGAUAGAAACAGAGAACGAACAAAGCAUACUUGGCACAGAGAACAGGAAGAGGACCAGGGAAAGCACUGAAGUAGGCUCUGCCUUUGAAAGGCUGGUGUAGAGCAGGAUGGAGAGCCAUGAGCACAGCGCUUCAAACUGCUGCUUGGACUGCCUGUAGCAGAAGUCACUCACAGUAAGGAAAAGGAAGGAGCAGCCCCUGUUGCAAAUACAGGUAUUCUGGACUGGGACCUGGAGCAGCAGGUGUAAGCCUAUGGAAAACAAGGCAAAAUUCAAUGGGAUGCAGAGGAGACUCUGUAGAAGAACGGAGGCAGGAGCCCAGAAGAGGGCUGGGGAGAGUCACUUGUGCCUCAAGUGACCACCAAGCGCUGCUGGCAAGGACCAGGAGGAUGAGGGAGCAGACAUGAUGAGCUCUCCACCUAGAUUCUGGAUUUCUGCUUUAACUUGACUGCAGAUUUUGAGCUGAUGGGAGUACAGCUUGAUCUGUUCUAGAGUUUAUUCAACUUGAUCCACAGAUCUUCUGGAUCAGCGGGAACAGGAAAAUAAGAACGUCUUACAGAAAAUUCACUGAUUUCAAUACUUUUAACACCACGGGGUUUUUAAUAAAAAUAGCAUCUUUCUACCCUCACUUGUGAGCUCCCAAAAUA